rnacentral:rRNA from 1 species
UUAGCCCUACGGGAGGCAGCAGUGAGGAAUAUUGGUCAAUGGGCGGGAGCUUGAACCAGCCAAGCCGCGUGAGGGAAGAAGGUACAGCGUAUCGUAAACCUCUUUUGUCAGGGAACAAAGGCGGGGACUAGUCCCCGGGUGAGGGUACCUGAAGAAAAAGCAUCGGCUAACUCCGUGCCAGCAGCCGCGGUAAUACGGAGGAUGCGAGCGUUAUCCGGGUUUAUUGGGUUUAAAGGGUGCGUAGGCGGCCUGUUAAGUCAGCGGUAAAAGCCCGGGGCUCAACCCCGGCGAGCCG